rnacentral:rRNA from 1 species
AGGGCGAACGCUGGCGGCGUGCUUAACACAUGCAAGUGGAGCGACGAACCAGGGCUUGCCCUGGGGCAGAGCCGCGAACGGGUGAGUAACACGUGGGUUACCUGCCUCGAUGACCGGGACAACCCGAGGAAACUCGGGCUAAUACCGGAUGUGCCCGCAAGGGGAAAGGAAGCUUCGGCCUCCGCAUUGGGAGGGGCUCGCGGCCCAUUAGCUUGUUGGUGGGGUAACGGCCUACCAAGGCAACGAUGGGUAGCUGGUCUGAGAGGACGAUCAGCCACACUGGGACUGAGACACGGCCCAGACUCCUACGGGAGGCAGCAGUGGGGAAUCUUGCGCAAUGGGCGAAAGCCUGACGCAGCGACGCCGCGUGCGGGAUGAAGGCCUUCGGGUCGUAAACCGCUUUCAGCAGGGACGAAAUUGACGGUACCUGCAGAAGAAGGCCCGGCAACUACGUGCCAGCAGCCGC